rnacentral:tRNA from 1 species
UCCUGGUUAGCUCAGUUGGCAGAGCGCUCCACUAGAAAUGGAGAGGGUUCGAUACCAGGAC